CGUCCGUCUCUCUCUUCGUCCCCCUCUCUCUGCUCCUCUCAGUCAUCAGUUCAAACCCUAGAAAAUUGGGGAUUUUUCCAAUAUCAAAGGAUUGACCAAUCUUUCAGUCACAGGCAUAUGUUGAAAAUUUUGGAGCGGAGCAAGGGAUGUGGAGGUGGAUCUUAUUUGGGAUAGGCUUCGUUUUUGGGAUUCCCUUUGGCCGUUGGUAUCUUCAGAAGUUAAGGAUUGUUCCUUUCAAGCAGCUCCUCUCCUCCUUCUGUGACGACGAGACGAUGCCGGCGACCACAUCUCCUCUCCUCUCAAGUUUUCAUAGUUAUGAUUUCCCUUUCUCACUCUCAUCUGGAUCUCUAUGGCUGGCUUUCUCUCAACCUCUCUGUGGCUGGCUUUCUCUCAACCUCUCUGUGGCAGGGUUGGAAGCUUGAGAGUUGUUCAUUCUUGAUAAUGAUAUGGGACUUUAAAUUGAUGGCCUUGAGACUGCAUAUUGUUCAAACCAAAAGCACUGGGUUCUUGAAGGAAGAUGCUAGAAGAUGGAGAUAGGAUUGAGACAUUUUAUGUACUCUGUUUACUUGAGAUCUCAAUGUUAAAAUAAUGAUCUAGAACUUGAGAUAGGAUUGAGACAUUUAUUGUCCUCCACGACAAUAGAGCAAAUUGGUGUCCGUUACAACCCAUGAGAUCCAUGACUUCUUAUAAUGUAUUAUUUUUGUGCUUGAGAUAAUUUAGUCUGAAUUGUAGAGUAAUAUCUUUAGUUUCUUAUGCAGUUUUAGAGAUGCUCAACAACAGAGCAUAGAAUGUAUGUGCUGACUUCCCAACCCAUUGAACAUGAAACUUCACUGCAAUCAAUGGUACCAUGAUAUGAAGAGUCCUAAUUUACACGACUUCUAUAUCUUCUACAUGGGAAAGGGACUUACUCUUCUUGGGCUUCUUAAUUUCAAAUUGGUUUUGAUUAUGUUUUUCAGUUAGGUAUUGUUUUGAUUUUGAUUUUGGAUUUGCAGGUAUUCCAACUAGCGGCCCAUCCACCCUUCCCAGCAUCUGAUAAGGGUUGGGGUAAAGAAUUAGGCCAAGUACAAGACUAAUAUACUAUUUUGGAGUCUAUUUAUUUGGCUACUUGAAUUUGUAAUAUUUUCAUUGUAUCUGGAGAUUGUAUUUUUU